GAGUUUGAUCAUGGCUCAGAUUGAACGCUGGCGGCAGGCCUAACACAUGCAAGUCGAACGGUAACAGGAAACAGCUUGCUGUUUCGCUGACGAGUGGCGGACGGGUGAGUAAUGUCUGGGAAACUGCCUGAUGGAGGGGGAUAACUACUGGAAACGGUAGCUAAUACCGCAUAACGUCGCAAGACCAAAGAGGGGGACCUUCGGGCCUCUUGCCAUCAGAUGUGCCCAGAUGGGAUUAGCUAGUAGGUGGGGUAACGGCUCACCUAGGCGACGAUCCCUAGCUGGUCUGAGAGGAUGACCAGCCACACUGGAACUGAGACACGGUCCAGACUCCUACGGGAGGCAGCAGUGGGGAAUAUUGCACAAUGGGCGCAAGCCUGAUGCAGCCAUGCCGCGUGUAUGAAGAAGGCCUUCGGGUUGUAAAGUACUUUCAGCGGGGAGGAAGGGAGUAAAGUUAAUACCUUUGCUCAUUGACGUUACCCGCAGAAGAAGCACCGGCUAACUCCGUGCCAGCAGCCGCGGUAAUACGGAGGGUGCAAGCGUUAAUCGGAAUUACUGGGCGUAAAGCGCACGCAGGCGGUUUGUUAAGUCAGAUGUGAAAUCCCCGGGCUCAACCUGGGAACUGCAUCUGAUACUGGCAAGCUUGAGUCUCGUAGAGGGGGGUAGAAUUCCAGGUGUAGCGGUGAAAUGCGUAGAGAUCUGGAGGAAUACCGGUGGCGAAGGCGGCCCCCUGGACGAAGACUGACGCUCAGGUGCGAAAGCGUGGGGAGCAAACAGGAUUAGAUACCCUGGUAGUCCACGCUGUAAACGAUGUCGACUUGGAGGUUGUGCCCUUGAGGCGUGGCUUCCGGAGCUAACGCGUUAAGUCGACCGCCUGGGGAGUACGGCCGCAAGGUUAAAACUCAAAUGAAUUGACGGGGGCCCGCACAAGCGGUGGAGCAUGUGGUUUAAUUCGAUGCAACGCGAAGAACCUUACCUGGUCUUGACAUCCACGGAAGUUUUCAGAGAUGAGAAUGUGCCUUCGGGAACCGUGAGACAGGUGCUGCAUGGCUGUCGUCAGCUCGUGUUGUGAAAUGUUGGGUUAAGUCCCGCAACGAGCGCAACCCUUAUCCUUUGUUGCCAGCGGUCCGGCCGGGAACUCAAAGGAGACUGCCAGUGAUAAACUGGAGGAAGGUGGGGAUGACGUCAAGUCAUCAUGGCCCUUACGACCAGGGCUACACACGUGCUACAAUGGCGCAUACAAAGAGAAGCGACCUCGCGAGAGCAAGCGGACCUCAUAAAGUGCGUCGUAGUCCGGAUUGGAGUCUGCAACUCGACUCCAUGAAGUCGGAAUCGCUAGUAAUCGUGGAUCAGAAUGCCACGGUGAAUACGUUCCCGGGCCUUGUACACACCGCCCGUCACACCAUGGGAGUGGGUUGCAAAAGAAGUAGGUAGCUUAACCUUCGGGAGGGCGCUUACCACUUUGUGAUUCAUGACUGGGGUGAAGUCGUAACAAGGUAACCGUAGGGGAACCUGCGGUUG
rnacentral:rRNA from 1 species